UGCCAAACUCUAGCCCAACAUACCUGACCUGGAAUAACAAAGCUACUCUCAAAACCCAACUAAAGCAUUUACUAGUCCCAGUAUAGGCGAUAGAAAAGACACCAUUGGCGCGAUAGAGACUACGUACCGUAAGGAAAAGAUGAAAUAAGAGUGAAAUAACUAAGCUAAAAACAGCAAAGAUCAACCCUUGUACCUUUUGCAUCAUGGUCUAGCAAGAAAAACCAAGCAAAAUGAAUUUAAGUUUGUCACCCCGAAACCCAAGCGAGCUACUUACGAGCAGCUAUUAUUGAGCGAACCCGUCUCUGUUGCAAAAGAGUGGGAUGACUUGUCAGUAGAGGUGAAAAGCCAAUCGAGCUGGGUGAUAGCUGGUUGCCUGUGAAACGAAUCUAAGUUCACUCUUAAUUCUUCUCCAAGGAAACCCAGAACCCUAAUGAAGCGAAUUAAGGGCUAUUUAAAGGAGGUACAGCUCCUUUAAAAAAGAGUACAAUCUCCACGAGCGGAUAAAUAACCUUUACCAAAGACUAUUGUGGGCCCUCAAGCAGCCAUCAACAAAGAGUGCGUUAAAGCUCUGUGCUCCAAAAAAAUAUAAAAACUCUAUGAAUCUCUCACCACUAACAGGCUAACCUAUAAAAAUAGGAGAAUUAAUGCUAGAAUGAGUAACCUGGGCUUUCCCUCUUCGACGCAAGCUUACAUCAGUACAUUAUUAACAAGUACCAUAUACGAACAAUCCAACAAGCAUAGUAUUAAGAUUCUUGUUAACCCGACAGAGGAGCGUCCACUAAGAAAGAUUAAAACCUGUAAAAGGAACUAGGCAAACCCAAGGCCCGACUGUUUACCAAAAACAUAGCCUUCAGCAAACCAACGGACAAGUAU
rnacentral:rRNA from 1 species